UCGCGGCUCAGUCAGUCGUCGUUCGAGCAUUAGGCAACAUUUAAUUUUAAUUUUAAUAUUUAAGUAGCUCUAAGUGUACAUAACACGAACAAACGAACAACGGAAAGUCAAGCAAGAAUCAACAGGCAUCAAAAUCAGACAAACGAAACACGAAGAGUUACAAAAAGAAAUUUAACUAAAAAAAAAACAGCUACGCAUAUUGAAUGUGCUACUUCGAACAAUUGAAACGAAACGAACCCUUGAAGAAACAAACCGUGCAAAGUGAAUCAUCCCAACAGUGAAGCAUAUAGCGGGGAAUCGCGCACAGAAAAAAAUAAGGACAAACGGUCUUUUAAUUUAAUUUCGAAGUAAAAAGCAAACGAAACGCUUUUUACUACAACUUAGCUGCGAAACAAACGUUCAACGAAAUACGAAAGCAAGUGCAAGUGUUCUGGUGAACAGUUUUUCGAAUUACGAUUUUAAGUGUACGUGUUCUUUUUUUUGUCCUUUAUUCAUUGCGAAAUUCGAAAGCUCUGCAAGCAAAGGGGGGAAGUAUUAGUAACUUCCCGAAUACAUAGUGAGUGUGAAAACCUUCAACCCGCAAUAAAACUAGCAACAGUGUGACAGCAUCCUGUUUAUGUUACAAGUUCAAGAAAGGAUAUAAUUUUCAAACUACAAACCAUUUCACAUAAAAAAUAAUACACCGUGACAAAAAGUGCGAUUCUCUCGGCGGGAGAGACAGAAAGGAAUAGAAUAAAACAAAAAAACGCGUGUGUAGAACUGUGAUAAUAGCACGCAAUCGACCAAAGGUGGGCAAACACAAAAUUAAAAAAAACAAACCCAACCCAACGGUGCAAAGAACCUAAAGCGUAAAAUCGCAACCGUGCGUGCGUGCGUGAAGUGUCGUCGUCGGUGGUGUUUAGGUAAAAAUAAUUGAAAUCCGUUCCACCCGGGCCCUGCGAUUGCGAGCAAACGUGCGAACGCAUUGGAUCUGUUCUGGUGACCGAUUGUGAAGUGUAAAUAGGUUACUUCCAACCACACCCAGCACAACCGGUGGACGGAGGUAAAAAAUUGGAUCGAUUUGUCCACGACACAACGCCCCAAAAGUCCAUCACCCUUGGCACGACACACUGAGCUCUAUAGAAAAAAAAAAACAACAAUAAGGGCAAGUCAUCAUCCAUCCUGUUGGAACGGUGCGAAAUUAAAGUUACAAAGCCCACCGGUGCAUAUGAAUCGUGUGCCGAACAUUGAAUUUAUCCGCCACUAGAGAGUGAGAGAGACAAGAAACAAGCGUGAACCCCAGUGCGCGGAAGUUAGUGUUAAAAUUAAAAUUUAAAUGUACUGCCUACGUGAAGAGUCUCAGCAUACGUAUCAGCAGCAAAAGCAGCAGCAACAGCAGGACGUUUAUGAUCUGUAAUAAGCAGUGAGUUUAGCAUCAAACCUUAGCGAUGGAGCAAAUUGAACAACCAACGAGCGUCACGGCUGGUACGGUGGAGUUAAUGCUCAAAAAUGCUUCCACACCGGAACAGGUGGCGAAAAAUGAAGAUUUAAACUGUAAAGCAGACACAGCGGAGUACUGUGACAAUGUGAAAGAAACGAACGUGCGACAAAAGCGUAAGAAAGCGUCAGAAAAGAUCGAUGCGAGCGGUGUUACCGAUAUCAAGCCACCGUUGGAUCAUCGAUCGGCGGGCAAGGAACCGAUCGUAUCUUCCCAUCCCGCCCCAUCCUCGGAAGCGAUGGGAAAUCUUUCCAAAGCAAACGGAAAACGGCUAAAGCUGGAUCUGAAAACCCAUCCGGAACAACACCACAAGCCGGAACCAACGUCACCGCUAGGGCUGUUGCAUGAGGAAAAAGUGAUCGUCCGAAGUAAACCACCGAUUCCACCGAAACCGGAUGUAAGGACGAUCCCGGCACCGCCCCAAGGGCAGCAGCGAGUGUCCAUUUCGCCGACCGGCACGCCUCAAGUAAAGGGCUGCAAGAAGCAGCAGGUGACAGAAGCGCACAAUGCCCAUACCGUCCAGAAGCUGCUGGCACAGAACGAACAGAUGAGGCUGGAACUGAGCGAACUCCGAACGAGCUUAGCUGCGGAGCGGAACGCUGUCAGAGUGUUAAGGGCCCAAAACGAGUCCGAUCUGCGAAAGACAAAAUCCGAAUGCAAGAAACUGCAGGAAGCUCUGCAGCACCAGAAACGCCAUUCCCAGGCCCAGUGCCAGAGUGUGUCCGUGGGUGGUGGUACACCGGCCAAGCGGGCACACCGGGGCGGGUCGGGGGAACAUGAACCCAUGAGCGGCUGGGGUUCGGAGUCGCGCGGUCAGCAGCAGCAGCAGCAACAUCAGCAGCAAUGUUGUCUGGAAGUUCUGAAGCUGAAUCAGGAGAUUUCUGCCCUGCGGGAAACGAACAGGUUCUUAGAGGAAAAAUAUCAAAUUUCCUCCGAGGCUGAACGGCAGAAAGCUUCCGAUAUACGCGUACAGCGGGAUCUGCACGAACUACGAUUGACUCAACUUUCCAAGUCAGCUAGAAACGAAAUCCAGCGCAUGCUGGAAGAGCUGAAAUCGAAGGAUCGCAGCAUAGCGCAGCUCAAGAAGGAGCUUCAGGCUGCGCUCGCUGCCCAGGCAGGAGCCGGUGGUGGUUGUCGCAAGGAGAGAAAGGCUGCUAAAAAUUCCGCUCAGCAAUCGCACGAGGUAUGUGUUGGUGAUACUUUUCAUCUCGCCGUUGCGCACAGUGAGAUAUACCCGGGGCUUCUCAAAAUGGUUCGAACCUUCUCGUUUGGUCCUCACCACAAGCGGCGUUGCGUAAUCUGCUACGAGGUAAGCACAGAGUGUUCCGCACUGCAGUGGAGAUUCGUACGUUCCACUGGAACCAGUGGACGAUUGAGAAUGCGAAAAUUGCGUGAGACAGAACCAUGUAGCGGAACUAUCAGCAAAAGCAACAGCAAUAACAGCAUCCAAUCCGUCACCGACGAUUACGAACAGCUGGACACGAAGGAAUCUCUGGAGCUGACUAUUGUCACCGCGACAACCACGACGACCGCCGUCCCGGCAGCGGAAGAAGCGUCGACACACGACGGCAGCUGCCGAACGACGCGGAACACAGAUGAAACACAGGCUAAUAAUCUAGACCUAGCGAUAGAAACGACGACGUGCGGCAACGAUGAGGUUGAACGGCCGACGCUGCCGCACGAAUUAUGUAAACGAACCAAGGAAGCUCACAGCAACGAAAGUAGUGGUGCCAGUAGCGUAGUACUAGAGUCUAAGAUCACGCCGCCCUAUCUUGCGACGGGAGCAAUAAACACAUCAGCACAGCAAUCGAUCGUCUCAGUCGAGUGCCAGCAGGCGUCUCUCGGUUCCGAUACGGACUCGGCCCUCUCCUCGAUGAGUCCGCAGCCGAACAGCUUCACCGGCGACUCGCCGGACGACGAUCCGUGGAACGUCCAGCGGUCGGUGAUAGCUCGCGACGAUGGUAAGCUGGCGCGGAUCAAGCUGGAGCUGGAUGAGAUGCAGCAGCGGUACGAUAUCCUCAACCGGGACUACACGCUUGCCAAGGAACAGAUCGACCAGCUGGAGCAGGAGCUGGUGAAGGCAACACAAGCUUCGCGCGAACAGAGCAAACUGAACGAACGGAUCGCAUACCUCGUUAAGCGCGAGGAAGACCUGCUAAAGGAAAGUCACGAGCUGCGCGAGCAGAACGAACUGCUCGAGUUUCGAAUCAUCGAGCUCGAGGAAAGCCACGACAAGUGGUCUCUACGAAACAACUCAAGCCCAACGGUCGGCGGUGGAACGACAAAGGACGGCUGGACCGAUACCGAAAAGGAGCACGAUGAGCUGAUAAUGCUCUCGGAGCGAUCCGACUCCGGCGUCACCUCACCCAACAGCCAUCACCAUCUGGAGGACCAGCAGAGCGGCGUACCGUCGCCGUGCGAUCUCUCCCUGCUGGAUCAAAUACCGACGGACGAUGUGCGCAAGCGGCUCAUCGCCAUGACCAAGCGCACGUGCUACGACGAGGAGGACAAGCUGUGUCUGCUCCAGAUCCUGUCGCUGCUGAACAAUCUCGAGGCCCUGUCGCAGGACCAUGAGAUUGCCGGCGAUGACAUGAGCCUGGAGUCGCCCAUCCAAAAGUACAACUAUAGCCUCCCGGACAGCAGCACACCGCCGAGGGCGCUGCUGCAUUCGGCCGCGGCUGCUGUGAUGAACAGCUCCACGCCGUACAAGGCGGCCGGUGGCAAGAUUGUCGCUACCGUGCAGCCGUUCCACAGCUCGGAUCAGCAUGCGGCCGCGCCCGUACCGCCACCGAAAGCACCCUCGAUUGCCUCGAUCGCGGAAACGUUCGGCGGCAUGAAGAAGUCGUCGCGCUGGAACAACGCCACCAGCCUGCAGGAGAGCGGCGUGUUUGUGGACGAACCGUGCACUCACGCUUCCACCCAGACGGAAGCGGACGACUUCCCGGCGCUGGAAAAGACGAACGCCGAGCUGUGUGCCGAGAUAGAGAAGCUGAACCGAUUCCGGGAGAAGAUCGAGGAGUGCAAGGGCGUAGCGGUGGCAGCUGUUUGCAAAACGCCCAGCAAGGGUUCAAUGCUGGCGCUGAACAUACCGCCCCCGACCGGGGAUGAAGCGUGCGACCGGCGCCGACUGCAGUUCUACGUCGAGCGGGCGGAGAUGCUGGAGAACAAGCUGAAGGUGUACGAGAGCAGCGGCGACCAGCAGCUGCGCCAGCUGUCGCAGCGAUUGCAGCGCGAGGUACAGCUGGAAGGUUGGGUGAAGGAGCUGUCGGAGAAGCUCGGCCGCGUGGAGCUGGAAAACGAGCGGCUGGAGGAGGAACGCUGCGAGCUGGAGGAGAUCGAGAACGACACCCGGUUGCGGUUGCAGCGGCUGGAGGAAGAUCUGGAAGUGAUGGGCCAGCGGAACGAGGAGCUGGAAAUGUCGCGCAGCUCGUACCAGUCCAAGUACCAGGACGCGAAGGAAAACAUCGACAGCCUGGAGGAGCUGAUUCACAAGUACGAGGAGAAGAUCUUCCUGCUGGAGGAGAACGAAAACGAGCUGCGGGAGAAGAUCGAGAUCAUCUACAUGUUCAUACCGAUGCUGCUGCUCUACAACAGCUGGCAGCUGCACGAACAGUUCAAGCAGCACCAGGCAGCAACGCUGGCACAGCAGCAGAAACAGUCCCGACCGCCGACGCUAUCCUACGCCGAGUCGCACGCCAUCCAGUGCAUUCCCACGGACCACAUCGACUACUACGAUAGUGGCAGCUCGCAGGCGGACGAUCUGCAGAACCGGCUGAGCGAGCUGAUGAGCCGCGAAAAGGAGCUGACGCAGAACAUUGCCGAGCUGAACCGGGCGUACAACGAAACGCUCGAAAAUGCGGACAACCUGUGGGCACAGAUGGAGCGCGAGUACAAGGAAAAGAUCAGCCGGUGCGAGCAGGAGGAGGCCACCCUCAAGUCCAAGAUCGCCCAGCUCGAGGAGCGGCUGAGCAAGGACAGUGAGUACGCGAGCGAGCGAAUUGCACACCUCGAGGAGGCGGAAAGCAGCCUCAAGAGUCGCGUCAGCCGGCUGGGAAAGGAGAACAAAGAGCUCUCGGCUAAGCAUGGUGCGCUGGUGGAGGAGUACGGCACGCUCAAGGACGAUUAUGCCAAGCUGCAGAACUACCUGCGCGGACCGGCUGCGGAAGCGCUGGAGCGCGAGAAGAAGCGUGUGCUGGCGCUGGAAGACGAGCUGGCGCACACCGAACAGAUGCUGCGCGAUGGCGAAGAAUCGCACCGUGCCGAGGUGGGCUCACUGCGCGGUCGUUUGCUCAACUCGACCAAGGAGCUGAACCACAUCGAGGUGACGAACAGUGAGCUGCGCGAGGAGGUAGAAACGCUUGAGGGACGCAUCCGCGAGCUGAUGUCUCAGCGUGGCAGUGACGAGGAGCGCAUCAAGCAGCUGACGGAAGAGCUGGAAGCGAAGCAGUCGCAAAUUGUUGCACUCCAACACGCACGCAAGGCUGGUGGACCCGGUACCGGUAGUAGCCGGGCAACGGUUGGACGCAGCUUGGCGCAGGAGCUCGAGCGUCCGCUCAAGGGUACCUACACACGCCACGGCUACGAGGUGCAUCCACUGGGCAGGAAGUUUCCCGACAGCGACAGCAGUGGCAGCGGUAGCGAGGAUCGAAGCAAGUUUCCGCACACGAGACCAUCGGCAUUUGAAACCAAAGAAGUGAAGAGCCUUGCGGAGACGAUCAUUCUGAAUGCCGAAAGCAGGGGAAUGAAGACGCCAAAGAAAUCGUUUGUUGAGGAGGCACGCAGCCGAUUCGCCCGGUGGGUGUGAGAUGCUGAAUCCUGGACCCGAGUGGACAGGAUGUCCCGAACUCCCGAAUCUGCCAAAUUUUGCUGGAAUAAGUACAAUACCCCUACCCCCAUCCCUGCACGGGCCAUCUUACUGGUGUGUUCCCUUGAGUGAUCUCGGACAACGGACCGUUGCUUGCCCUGAAAACAAUCGCCAAGCAACAGUGUUACCAACCCAGCGCACACGUUACACAUCCUUCCAACAUGCACACGUUACACUCGGACACGAACUCAGACAUGCAACACGUGCAAGCCUUUUUGGGGUUUGGAUGGAAUGUUUGUGUUGUGUCGUAGAAGCGCAUCUUCGGCUGUGAAGUUGAAGGUUGUGUCACACCCCUCCCUCAACCAUCCCUGUUCGCACAGCAUCCUUUGAUCCUUGUAGCGCACCCUUCCCGCUUUGUCCCGGACUUGCCAACAGGUCAACGUGAUGAACUGAUACAAACCGCCACCCAGAUAAGCGAUCCCGCAACAGGCGCAGAAAAUCUGAAGUGAAACUCCUUCAGCCCAGCAUCACCACCAGCAGGACAAUCGGUAACACUCUCCGCCGUUUUUUUAAUGCUCUAGGACGUCUGUUUCUCUGGAGCCGAUAUCGGAGCCGAAACAAAUCUUCAUCAAGCACUCCUUCCUGCAGCUUCUGGUCGGCCAUUUUACCACCUCCCAGUGCAAAGGUGGACUCGAACAUGCGUCGCCAAGGCAGAAGCGCGCCGGCAGAAGGGCCCGGAAAUGAGGAGAAGAAAAAAAUCUAGUCGUUGUUUUUGUUGAAUGUGUUUAUUUUUGAGGUACUAUAAAACAAAGUAGUGUUAGACGUUAGCAAUGAAAGCUGCAGCAGUAACGGCUGCAGAAGAUAGGCGGUACGAUGGUGAUCGUUCGAUCGUAGUGCGUUACUGGCAUGGCUGCUCUUGUGUAGAGAGCCUGGUGUUUGCCCAUGGCAACGGAUCGACAAUGCAUGCGCACACCAUUCAAUUACGAUGUACUCCCAUAACCAGACUCUGUAAUAUAGACUGAACAGUAGUAGAUGGUUGGCAGCAGUUGACAGCUUUUAGAUCGUAUAGUUUUUUUUCGCAAUAAUUAAACUCUAGUUUGAGCGUUCAUGUUCGUUGCGUUUACAGUUUGAAUAAUAAGUUCUCAGCCUAAGCGAGUUAGUUUUGCUAAGCUUUUUGUUUGCCUUUCAUCCAAACCACCUACGGAAGAGCUUCAGUUUGCAGUUAGUAAAUAUCGGUUCGUAUUUUGUAUAAUUUUGCCCAUUACUGUAUGAUUGUGAGUUGCUUUUAGAGUUUUUGUUUUAAUUUUACCAUUCGUUUGUGUACAGUAUGCUUGCGUUAGUUUGUGUUUUUGUAACAUAUUUUAUGAUAUCCGAUGGGUUGGCAGGUAAAUGUCGUCCUUCCCACGGGAACAGUCCGAUGGCUAGUAGUUCUUUGUGCUAUUCUAUAUACGACUAUAACGGUUGAAACAAAAUAAGCAGCUAUUUAACGUGGCGAGCCAUGCAAGCGAGCAAUGAUCCGUCAACCGACCCGGUCGGUAUUAUCGGUCAUGGUGCUUUUGAAUCGAUUUUGUGCCUUCAGUAUCGAUUGAAGGAUCGAUCCUUAGUACGUUCGUUCCCCGAAACGGGAACUGGUAAACCAUCAGUACCAGCUACCUGCGUUCCACCGGUACGCAGUGCGAACUUGUGAGCUUCCAGGGUAUUAUUUAAACGUGUUACUACAAACUCAUAUGUAUGUCCCACAUUAAUCAAUUGUUCAGGUUUUGUAUAAAGUGAACAUGUAGAAACAGUGAGUGAGUUGGAAAGCGAGAAAGUGGAGAAAGAUUGAGUGAGAAGCUGAGAAAAGAAAGAAAAGAAUAAACAAUUAUACGCCGUAGUUGUGGUAGUGAAAAAUUAUAACAGU